rnacentral:rRNA from 1 species
UACGAAGGGACCCAGCGUAGUUCGGAAUUACUGGGCUUAAAGAGUUCGUAGGUGGUUGAAAAAGUUGGUGGUGAAAUCCCAGAGCUUAACUCUGGAACUGCCAUCAAAACUUUUCAGCUAGAGUAUGAUAGAGGAAAGCAGAAUUUCUAGUGUAGAGGUGAAAUUCGUAGAUAUUAGAAAGAAUACCAAUUGCGAAGGCAGCUUUCUGGAUCAUUACUGACACUGAGGAACGAAAGCAUGGGUAGCGAAGAGGAUUAGAUACCCUCGUAGUCCAUGCCGUAAACGAUGUGUGUUAGACGUUGGAAAUUUAUUUUCAGUGUCGCAGCGAAAGCGAUAAACACACCGCCUGGGGAGUACGACCGCAAGGUUAAAACUCAAAUGAAUUGACGGGGACCCGCACAAGUAGUGGAGCAUGUGGUUUAAUUCGAAGAUACGCGCAGAACCUUACCAACACUUGACAUGUUCGUCGCGACUCUAAGAGAUUAGAGUUUUCGGUUCGGCCGGACGAAACACAGGUGGUGCAUGGUUGUCGUCAGCUCGUGUCGUGAGAUGUUGGGUUAAGUCCCGCAACGAGCGCAACCCUCACUUUUAGUUGCCAUCAUUAAGUUGGGCACUCUGAAAGAACUGCCAGUGAUAAGCUGGAGGAAGGUGGGGAUGACGUCAAGUCCUCAUGGCCCUUACGUGUUGGGCUACACACGUGCUACAAUGGUAUCUACAACAGGAAGCAAGACUGCGAAGUUAAGCAAAUCCCUAAAAGAUACCUCAGUUCGGAUUGCACUCUGCAACUCGAGUGCAUGAAGCUGGAAUUACUAGUAAUCGUGGAUCAGCGUGCCACGGUGAAUGCGUUCCCGGGUCU